rnacentral:lncRNA from 1 species
AGUGUUUCUGUGGCCAUCUUGAACAGAUCGCAAGCUAAAUCAUCCAUCUUAGGAGGUACAGACUACAGGGGGCCGUGGCUUCCUCUUAACCGCGGCAGCUGCUGAUAAAUACUGUACUAUUAACAGUGAGGCCCGGCGUAAUUUCCUUAUUAGAGGGCUUCUUUACGUCUCUUCAUCCCAAACUGGGAAAUGAUGCUGUUGACUGGGGCAAAGAAUAAUGGGAGAAAAACAGCUGGGUCCUAAAUAACAGAGGGAAACCAACUUUCAAUAAAGUAUUCAACAACUAA